GUGCUCGCCCAGGUAGCACAGGCACUAAACUGGAACGACACAGAGAAGAGUGGCACAGCCCUGCACAAGGACAACACGCAAAUUCGUGAAAUAGUCCAUGAAAGG
ensembl:snRNA U6 U6 spliceosomal RNA